rnacentral:rRNA from 1 species
UACGCAGGCGGCUUGUUAAGUCGGGUGUGAAAGCCCAGGGCUCAACCCUGGAAUUGCGCCCGAUACUGGCGAGCUUGAGUACGGGAGAGGGAAGCGGAAUUCCUGGUGUAGAGGUGAAAUUCGUAGAUAUCAGGAGGAACACCAGUGGCGAAAGCGGCUUCCUGGCCCGAUACUGACACUCAUGUACGAAAGCGUGGGGAGCAAACA